rnacentral:rRNA from 1 species
UUUGUGUUAAUUUUUUUGUUUUGUGCUACUUAUUCUUUCUUGAUUUUGUGCUCUUUGGCCGGGGCGGUGCUGAGUCCCCUGCGUUUGUUUAUAACGUGGUGUUCGUGUGGGGCUUGAGAACUGUAUAGUGGAUGCGAGUAUCUUUAUUGUUGUAUGUGUUUGUGCGACGUGGUGUUGUGCAAAGUUGUGUAGUGCGAUCGGUGGAUGCCUUGGCACCAAGAGCCGAUGAAGGACGUUGUGACCUGCGAUAAGCCCUGGGGAGUUGGUGAGCGAGCUGUGAUCCGGGGGUGUCCGAAUGGGGAAACCUGGAAUGUCCGGAGUAGUGUCCGGUGGCCCUGCCCUGAAUGUAUAGGGGUGUGGGUGGUAACGCGGGGAAGUGAAACAUCUUAGUACCCGUAGGAAGAGAAAACAAGUGUGAUUCCGUGAGUAUCGGCUAACGAACAAAGAACUCCUACCACAAAAUAAAUCAGAACCGGCG